AAAUUGAAGAGUUUGAUCAUGGCUCAGAUUGAACGCUGGCGGCAGGCCUAACACAUGCAAGUCGAACGGUAACAGGAAGCAGCUUGCUGCUUCGCUGACGAGUGGCGGACGGGUGAGUAAUGUCUGGGAAACUGCCUGAUGGAGGGGGAUAACUACUGGAAACGGUGGCUAAUACCGCAUAACGUCGCAAGACCAAAGAGGGGGACCUUCGGGCCUCUUGCCAUCAGAUGUGCCCAGAUGGGAUUAGCUUGUUGGUGAGGUAACGGCUCACCAAGGCGACGAUCCCUAGCUGGUCUGAGAGGAUGACCAGCCACACUGGAACUGAGACACGGUCCAGACUCCUACGGGAGGCAGCAGUGGGGAAUAUUGCACAAUGGGCGCAAGCCUGAUGCAGCCAUGCCGCGUGUAUGAAGAAGGCCUUCGGGUUGUAAAGUACUUUCAGCGGGGAGGAAGGUGUUGUGGUUAAUAACCG
rnacentral:rRNA from 1 species